rfam:Prevotella ruminicola 23, complete genome.
GGUCGUGCCUGAUAGAUCGGGAUACUCUACAUUAACAAAACAAAUCGGGAUCGUUUCCCUUGCCAAUGGCGGGCCACGAUUAUCCUCCACGAGGAGAGCAGCAAUGCCGGUGGAUUACAACAGCAGGGAGCCCCCACAUCGUGUGAAACAGGAGUUUUCACCAAAUCAUCGGCACGUACCCUUUC